CGACAGAAAGAGGACUCCAGUGGAGAGCUCAGGAAACUCCUAGAAUGGUGUUGCUGUAAUAAGAAGAUGUCAACAGCAGUAGAAAGGUUUGGUUGCCUCAAACUGAAAAUGACUUUGGUUUGGUAACUUUUAAGAUCACAGUGUAAGAAAACCGAGAUCAUGGGCUGGAGAGAUUACAAAUAUCUUUCUCUUAUUGCUUCUUCUUCAGUAAGUGUUUAUUACUAGCCAAGUUGGGGGUGGGGAGACAAAAUUCAAACAGCAGAAAAUAACAUCUUUGGGUCUACUCUUUCCUUUCAAAAGUUUUCUUGGGGAUAAGCUGGGAAAUAGAUCAUCAAUGGGUUUAUUGACUAGGAGGAAGAGGGGGAGUCUGUCUAAAUCAUCAAAAUGUGAGAGAGAGAUUAAAACCACAUUCUCUCAUCAGAGUAGAAAGUUAUAUUUAAAAAAAGAAAUAGAGGAUUGAAAAUGUGAGCUAUAGCCUCUAAUUCAUAAAUAACUCAGCUGUUUUAUGGUGGAAUAUUUAGAGACAGAGACUGAGGCUAAGACCAUUUGGCCUCUCCAAAGAUGAAAUCGAGGCUUUUCUAACUUCCAGCUGUGAGUCAAAAGCAAGAAGAAAUCUAGAUGGGAUCUCCUUGUUUUUUGGGUGAGCUCUCCGGGAGUUUCUUCCGCCCGUGCUGAGAGGUCUUAGAGCAUUACACAUAGUCGUGCUUGGAAGGAUAAGAUUGUACCUCGUCCUCUGUGCGGGCACCUCCAUCGUAUAUCUUCUUGUUUUUGGUGUUGGACCCAAAGCCAGUGCUGGCCUUGAAGCCUCCAGGCUUGUAGGCAACACUGUGGCCUGAGGCAUGAUAAGAAACGGCUUUGUAGCUGAAAGAAAAAUAAACAUUCCAUGAUUGUAGAUGUCUUUGUUAGUAGGACCAACCUCCUAUUUACCAUAAACUGUCUCAGUCUUGGCACUGAAAGUCCAGUGUCCCUGGAAACCCAUCAGUCCGGGGCAAACCAGGAUAGUUAGUAACCUUAGUUUUUGGUACACUGGUUUUACUGCCUCUGCAGUGGAACAGAAGUUCUUGCACUGUUUUAGAGCUUUGCUGAGCCGAGAACAAAAUCUCCUGAGAAUAAAAUAAUUGUGAUUCC
rnacentral:lncRNA from 1 species